ACAUAAAGGCAAUGCAAUACAAGCCUUAAAAAUGAAAGAAAUCCUGCCAUUCGUGACAACAUGGAUAAACCUGAGGACAUUAUGCUAGGCGAAAUAAGUCAGCCAUAGAGUGACAAAUACCAUGUGAUCUCACUUAUGGUCAACAAGUAUACUUUAAGGACCUGUAACAAGUCAAGAACUGUUUCAAAGCUGAGGAGAAAGUAAUGAAAGCAGAAAAACAUCUUAACCUCACAUUGCUGGCAUUUGAGGAGGAGAUAGCUUCAGG